rnacentral:rRNA from 1 species
CAUGUCCUUUUGAAUUAAAUUUAAGGUCUAAUCUGCCCACUGAUUUAUUGAAUGGCCGCAGUAUCUUAACUGUGCAAAGGUAGCAUAAUCAUUAGUCUUUUAAUUGAGGGCUGGAAUGAAUGAUUGGACGAGAUAUUGACUGUCUCAUAAAAAUAAAUUAGAAUUUUAUUUUUUAGUUAAAAAGCUAAAAUUUUUUUAAAAGACGAGAAGACCCUAUAGAUCUUUAUAAUUUUUAUAUUAUUUUUAAAUAAGAAAUUUUUUAAGAUAAUAUUAUUUAAUUAUUUUGUUGGGGUGACAUUGAAAUUUUAUAAACUUUUAAAAAAUUUAUAUACAUUAAUUUAUGGUUAAAUGAUCCUUUAUUAUUGAUUAAAAAUUUAAGUUACCUUAGGGAUAACAGCGUAAUUAUUUUGGAGAGUUCAUAUCGAUAAAAUAGUUUGCGACCUCGAUGUUGGAUUAAGAUUAAUUUUGGGGGUAGAAUUUCAAAAUAUUAAGUCUGUUCGACUUUUAAUUUCU